UUGGAGGGCAAGUCUGGUGCCAGCAGCCGCGGUAAUUCCAGCUCCAAUAGCGUAUAUUAAAGUUGCUGCAGUUAAAAAGCUCGUAGUUGAAUUUCGGGACCAUCAUGUCGGUCGUGCCUCGGUACGUACUGGUAUUGUUGGUUUCUCCCUUCUGACGAACCAUGAUGUCAUUUAUUUGGUGUUGUGGGGAAUCAGGACUGUUACUUUGAAAAAAUUAGAGUGUUUAAAGCAGGCUCACGCUUGAAUACAUUGGCAUGGAAUAAUGGAAUAGGACGUUUGAUUCUAUUUUGUUGGUUUCUAGGAUCGACGUAAUGAUUAAUAGGGAUAGUUGGGGGCAUUAGUAUUCAAUUGUCAGAGGUGAAAUUCUUGGAUUUAUUGAAGACUAACUACUGCGAAAGCAUUUGCCAAGGAUGUUUUCACUAAUCAAGAACGAAAGUUAGGGGAUCGAAGACGAUCAGAUACCGUCGUAGUUUUAACCAUAAACUAUGCCGACUAGGGAUCGGAUGAUGUUAAUUUUUUAAUGACUCAUUCGGCGCCUUACGGGAAACCAAAGUGUUUGGGUUC
rnacentral:rRNA from 1 species